CCUGUUGGUGACAGUAGAGGGCUUUUUUCGUGUAUUGUUUGUGGGGAGAAAGUAAAAUUUUGGUUACAAAAUUCUGAAACGGAUUGCUGAGCUGUACCGACUCGUUCCAACAGUUCGUCUAAAUAGUUCACGUCAUUUUGAGUUAGAGCAAUUAAACAUUAGAGAGCAAAAUGAUUAUAGACCUGUAAAAGAGGUAGAGGAGGUGGUUAACCGUUGAAAGUAAUCACAUUUGAAAUAUCGUGUUUUUUUUUGUAUAAUGUGUACGGUUACGAUUUGUUUAAGUUUCACUUUGAAGAUGCGCAGUUGGAGUUGAAGAGCGACCUGCUAGAAGAGAACUGUUAAAACAGAAAGCAGUUCCUAAGAAAUUCGAAGUUCUAAAUCCUUCGAAAUGGAAAUAACCAGAAGCAAGGAUAGUAAUAAAAAAAGGUAUUAGUGUGAUGAUGAUGAUGAAAGAGAAGGUAGCUGCAAUGAACAGCAAGUUGAACACAUUUUUACAUUCAGACCAUAUCCUUAUAAGCAACCAAAUGAAAAUAUGAUUUGCUCUGUAAGUGAAAUUUUUUUGAUGGUACAAAUGAUUAUGAAUUACAGAGGAGCACCAGUUACCCACUGCUGUUGGCAAGAACUCUGUGGAAGAGGACUGAAGCCAGAUACAGAAUUUGUUGAAGGUGAUAAAGGUUUAAAAAGCUAUAUAUGCGAUUUGUAUGUGAAUAGUUAAGCAGAGCUGCAGCUUCCGGGCCAUGCUUUGGUUUUUGUGGUGUGAGCUUCGUGGUAACUAGCCUGUGAAUCAGCCCAACAAAUGAAUUAUUUUUCAUCUUAAAACCAUGUUUAGAGUUUUUUGAACAAAACUGUGGUUACGAGAAGUGAACUGGACAUCAGGAAGUUGUUUAAAAAUCAGUCUGGAGAUUUCUAUUGUCUGUCCAUCCUAACAUUCUCCCUGCCUGCAUACGUCAGUGUUGUCAGGCUCCUGUUCAAAAAACACAUACUACGCAACUGUUUAUCCAGUUUAAAUCCCUGUUAGAAGACACCAUUUGUGAUGCUCACAUUAUUGCUGUGUCUUUCUUUGGUCUUAGAUUGUUGCUUUCCUUACAAAGUUUUCAUGUAGUUUGCAUUGCUGCUAUUUCGUCAUUCCCAACAUUUAUUAUGUGUAUAAAUUGUUUCAGUGUGAGGCAGUUAACAGGUGUGACAUUCAACAGUUGGUAGGAAUAUAAUUCGGGUUUAAUAUGAGAUGGGCACUGUUGGUUGCAACUGAUUCCAAGAGAGUGGCUGAAGCUGAAAGGUGGGAUCUUGGGGCAACUAAAGAUACCAGAAUAACAAGGAGAAAUAAGAACAAGUGAGAAGAUGAGGAACACUGAAACCAAGAAAAUUAUGCAACUUCAGAGCAUAUUGUGAACAAAAGAGCUGAGUAUAUCAGUUUAUGUUAAAUUUUCCAAGAAUUAAAUUCUCUUAAGUUUUUAUUCAUUUAAUUAUGUGUGAAUUGACCAGUUAGGAUCGUACUACAAUUUCAUUUCUUCUCUGUAUGAUGUUUCUUCUUUCUCCAGUACUCCUGUAUAUGGACGCUGUGCUGUUGCUUCUGUUCAUCCGUCCAAGCUUUUCUAGUCUUGGUUCUUCUUUUCAUGUGUAGUCAUGGUCCACAAUGUAUUCUUAUUUUACAUCUGAACUUUCUGAAUGUUAACAUUUCCAGAUCUUUACAAGCUUCCUCAAUCCUUAUCGUUGUUGUGUUCUUGUUCCACAGGUAGUCGAAUAUCCUUUUGGAUAGUCUGGUUUUGUCCAUUCAGUACAAGUGUCCUAGAGAUGAUUACCUCCGCUAGUUCGUGGUCUCUGAAAUUUUCUCCACCUUAUUGUAGAUUUCAUUGUUGCUCCAAAAUUUCCAACCAGUUACAACCUGAGUUUGACCCAUGAUUUUCCCAUAAUACUCAUCUUCCUGGUAAGUCCAGCUUCUCCAACUUCUAAUUCAUUGAGGCAUUCACUGGCAUACAGGCACACUGUUUUUACCACAACAUUGUAGUGCUGUAUUGUGACAUUCCAAGAGAUGCACUUUUUGUUUUAAAAGUUUGUAGUAAAUCCGUAAGCUCUAUGCAUUUGUGAGCUCUGUUCCCCCACAGAGGCUUUCUCCAGUCCGUUGUCUUGUAUGGCUUCACCGAGGUAUUUGAUUUUUUUUUUACCCUCUCAAUCCACCCAAUCUCCGUUCCAAGGAAUUGUGGUCCAUGUUUGUCACUUGUCAUGACUUUGGUCUUCCCUUUAGAGAUCCUAAGUCAUGGCAUGACAUGCCGGGACUGAUUAGCUGAACAGUUCGCUUUCUUAGGAAUUCACACACACUUCCUGUUUUGCAGGUCAUCCUCUCUAGUGGGUUAGUGUGUGUGGCUGCUUCUCCUAAGUUCUCUGAAAGUGUCACAAAAUCAUCAGUGAAAGCCAAGCAGUUUACUUUGAUUCCUCCUGAUAUUCUUCCUAGACAGAUUGGGCCAAUCCCUUGAGUUUCAAGUUCAGAAUUCCAAUUUCUCACAAUCUACUCCAGGAUACAGUUAAACAGUAUUGGUGAUAAUCCAUCGCCCAGUCACACACCUGUUCUCCCAUAAACUUCACUUUGGAAGUUGUGCCUGUUAAGAUGUAUGUGAUAAUGUUUGCCAGCUUGUUACUGACCCCAAAUUCCGUGAUGAUUCUAUCUAGAGUCUCUCUAUCCACCGAGUCAGUUCUAUUCAGCAGUGUCCUUGGGAGGAUCUUGUAGAUGACUGGGUGUAGUGACAUGCCUCUGUAGUUGUUUACAAGUUGUUUCUACCUUUCUUAUGGAGUGGGUAGAUCAGUGCUGUUUUCCAUUCAUCUGGCAGUUUUACUAUCUCCCAUAUUUGCUGAAAGAUUUAGUGUAGGUCAUCUAGGAUUUCUGUUCUGCCCAUUUCAGCAUUUCUGCUGAUAUCGGGUCUUCUCCACUAGCCUUGUUGUUUUUGAGACUUUUUAGGGCUUCCUUUGUUUCUUCUUCUGUUGGUGGUAUGUCAUCCUCUAGGUUUUGAGGAGGAGCCAGAAGUUCCAGUUUGGUGGUUGGAGGUGGGCAGUUGAGCAGCUUGUAGAAGUGUCUGAUUAGUAGAGUGCAAUUUUCUUCAUUAUUCAAUCCAAUUUUGUCCUGUUCAUUUUUGAAGCUUACACUUGGGACCUGGUAUCCUUUGAUCCGAUCUUUGAAAGUUUGAAAAAGUCUCUGUUGUUAUUUUUUGUGUAGCUGUUCUUGAGAGUUUCUAAUUUUUAUUUCUCAAAUGAUCGUUUGACUCUGCAGGAUAUCCUUGCUGUUUCUUUUCUUUGUUUUCUGAAUUGUUCCAUGUGUUGACUCUCACUUCGUGUGCUUUCUCACAUUCUUCAUUCCACCAGAUUAACCGUUUUGUCAUUGCCUGACAGUGUUUUCUUUGCGGCAUCGUUGAUCUCUGUAUGGAGUUAUUGCCAGGGGUCUAUUCUAGAUGAGCGGAUUUCUUCUUUGAAGUUAUUUGGAAUGUCCCGGUUGAUGUUCAUUGGGUUGGUGUUAUACUUGAUCACUAUGAGUGGCUCUGUUUCAUUUUGAUGCGAGAAAAUGCAUUUUAACUUUGCAUAGGUAGUGAUCAGAGUCGAAUUCACUGUCUGAUUACUUUAACAUUCAUCACUUGUCUAGUGUUUUUCCUGGUAUUGCUACAUGGCCUAAUUGGAAUUCUAGGUUGGGAUUUGGAGAUACCCAAGUCUUUGCUUUUCUUGGGACUUUCCGAAAAUGAGUUGACAUUACCUACAACUGGAAAGUUUUGCAGCGUCCAGUGAGCAUUUCUACUGUCUGAUUUGUUCUUCCGUGUGCUGAGCAGCCUCUUGCUAUGUCUUUAUAUUUUCUUUCUCUCUCGAUCUGUACGUUGAAGAUACCUAGAAGGAUUUUCUACGGUUCAGAGGUAUGCUGGAGAUUUGUUUCCAGUAGAUCCCAGAAGUCGUCUACUGUUUGGAGGUUGUUCUUGUUGUCUUUGUUAAUUGGAUUGUGGCAGUAUAUGGGAGUAUAUUUCUUGUUUAUGCACUUGAUUGUCAGUAUUGAUAACCUUCCAGAUUUUGAUGAGAAGCUCAUGACAUUGUUAACUAUGGUUCUGUUUAGGUAAAAGGUACUACCCAGGAGAGGGGUGUUAAUCAUUAUUUUUAUUGCUGGCUUUCGUUUGAAUGCUCUACGGUGUUGUGAGUCCACAAUGAGCUCAUCUAGGAAUCUGGCCUCUAAUACAGCCAACAUGUGAAUUUCGCAUUUAUACAGGAGCUUUUCCAAUUUUUAUUGUUUUCCGACUCGGAGGAGUGAAUUUACAUACGGUCCCAGUGUAGUAUUUCUUUCCGAAUUUCAGUUUGGAAGGUAAUAGGUACUAUUCACUGGAGAGAAGACUGGGCACUAAUGUACUAUCUACUGGAAGGAAGAUAUGUACUGAUUAAUUAUAAAACAGUGGCCUUAAUUUUGAUUAUCAGGUGUAAAUAUUAGUAGAAUAAAAACUUGUUCCUGAAAUGACAGGAGCGUGGGCUGCUCUCUUGAUAGAUAUGUCAUUAAGGUGUCCUUGAAGUUUCAAGCACCUAAGUAAAUUAGUCAGUGCAUAGAUUCCAAGUAAUGAUUGGGAUAUAUACAUGUAAUUUGAUGAGCUUCACAAAAAAUUGUAAUAAAGAAAAUAAGUGAACUAA